CAGCACCUCAAGUGGUCAGGAUGAUUAUUGGGCCUAAAGCAUCCGUAGCCGGCGCUGUAAGUUUUCGGUUAAAUCUGUACGCUCAACGUACAGGCUGCCUGGAAUACUGCAGCGCUAGGGAGUGGGAGAGGUAGACGGUACUCGGUAGGAAGGGGUAAAAUCCUUUGAUCUAUUGAUGACCACCUGUGGCGAAGGCGGUCUACCAGAACACGUCCGACGGUGAGGGAUGAAAGCUGGGGGAGCAAACCGGAUUAGAGACCCGAGUAGUCC
rnacentral:rRNA from 1 species